UUCCUCAUGCUAGCCCCCAUUGUGCUCAUAUGUAAAUCAAAAGGUUGGGCUAGGUGAUUUCCAGCUUCCAUCCUAGCCCUUACAAUCUAAGACUGCUCUGUAGUCACUCUUUGCUUUGCAUUGUUUAAGCAACAUGAGUGACAGUAAAUGAAUCUCUUAUGUAGAAUUAAUGACUGUCUGAAUGAACCGCAAGCCCUCUGGUGCAGUCAUUCAUUGCUAAAGGACGCCUAACGCAAAGAUCAUCUGUGAUGAUGCAAAUGUAAAAAAAAAAAAAAAUAGUAAUUACCUGUUUUCAUGCUAAUAAUAAUUUGCAUGCGUAGUUCCCUCAGUAUGGUUCCUGCUAUCUGUAGGGCGAAAAGACAGAAAGCUGGGGAUCUCAUUAAGCAGCAGCACAGUGUAGUGAAAAGAGAGGUAGGGAAAGCUUAGAAUCAAGAGACUUUGGUUUGGCAUUUCCUUUGGCUAAAACCAUACUAGGCCUCAGUAAUUUCAUCUCUUAGACUGGACGACCUCAGCUACUUUCCUGGAUGCUGUUAAGAUUAAGUACAUAAUGAAUGGGAAAGUCAUUGGUCACUUGUAUUUGUAAAUGUCUCAUUUAAUCCUCUCAGCAACAGUGUGAAGUAGGUGCUCCUGUUAUCUCUAUUUUCCAGCACACACACGCACUCACAAUAUACCACACUCACAUACAUACACAUAUACCACACAUACACUCACACACAUACACACAUAUAAAUAUACACUCACGUACAUACAAUAUACCACACACAUACACACACACACACAUACAUACACACCCAAAAGUAAAAUAAAGAGAAAUUAAAUAACUUGUUCAGGGUCACACAGCCCAUGACACUCGUCCAUUUUGUCUAUUCAGAAAGGAUAGUAGUAUCUCUUUAUCUCUGAAUUCCCAUAUCAAAGUAAGUUUUUUGUCUCAACAUAUAUGAUCUUCUUAGAGAAAGGAAACUAUUUCAUCUUUGUGCAACUAAAAGUACUAUGAACCUCUCUACCUCAGCUAUAAAAUGGCAAUAGAAGUACCUAUGUCUCUCUAAAGGAUACUCUUUAGUUCCCUCUUGGGCUCUCAUCCCACUGACACCCCCUCAAUUUCUCCCUUCAUAAAAAACCAAUUCCAAUUUGGAAAAGUAUGUGAUCUCUCAGAAGCUGUCCUCACACUCAAGUCUGGAUCGGAGCACAUGACCUAAGGUCAGCAUCCCUGACCAGGGUGGUUAUUUCAGGGGUUGGCAGAAAACCUGUCCAAUCAGACUUCUGCUAGAAAACUAAGACAAAAGAAUAUCCCAUAGACCAGGAAGUAGCAGUAUAGGCUCUUAAAGGGAAUGGGCCUUAUGAUAAAGCUGGAUCCAAAGAGGCCAAAAUAGAGAGACCAAAAGGAAAUCAUCCUGUCAUAUCAUGGAGUUGCUGUUGAAAGUCAGCAUUGCAUUAACAAUAACAUGAACCUUUUGAUCAUCUAAGCCAGAAUCUUUUAUAAUUUUUGUUACUUCUACCAAAAUCAUGGCAUCAGUGUAAUGAAGCCAUGGAUGAGAAAUUGCAAAGGCUAGAUGACCAUAAAACUUGGUAAUGGUGAUUAUGACAACAAUGACAUGAUGGCCGAGAGAAGGAAAGGAAGGCCUUUCAACAAACACAGCUCUGGAAUUUCAUGUAGAUCAGAAAUUUCCUUCAGUGGUUAAAAGAUAAAAUUAGUUCAUUUUUCUAUGUUUUAUCUAGAUUCAUUUUACAAUCUUCUUCUAGUGGUAUACUCUUACAUAUCCCUGAUCAAACCACAAAGAUGAGGGAUCUUUUCCUGACCACGCCUUCUACAUGCUUGCCUCCAUUCCUUCACUCAUGCUAUCUUCUCCUCCAGGAUUACUUUUCUUCAUUCCCAUUUACUGAAAUCCUUCCCAAUGUGUAGGCCCUAGUUUAAAGGAAGUCUUCCCCACCAUCAUUCCCUCUUUCUGCUUCCUUUAUAUAUUGUGCCUACUUAUAAUCCCGAUCCCCACCAUGUGUUGGAGCUAUUUUUCACACAUCCAGAUCUCCCAUAAGGACUAUAAUCUCUUAGAGUAGAUGCUAAGCUCCUUAUAAACAGCAGAGAGAAAGAGAUGUAUGUGACACCUGUCACUGCACUAAUUUCCAGGGUGAUUCAACUGAUGUGGUUGUAAUUCCACCAUUGAAUAGUCAUCAAUCAAAAGCAUAUAAGGAGCACCUUUUGAUGAGAUGGAAAGUCUUUAUAAUUAGGAAUGCUUAGACUUCAAUCUAACUGGGAGUUAUGAAAAAAGACAGGAGAGUGGAUGACAGAGGAUGAACAGAGGGAAGGAAGGCAGGGAGAGAGGCAGGAUGGAAGGAAAGAACCCAUCCCAAUCUGGUUCCAGGUGUUAUCACUUGUUCUCUCAUCUGCAUUAUUGAAUCAUGUUAUGAAUCCCUCUCUUAUGGGCAUUUGUUUAAUGCCUGUUCCACCAACAGACUGAAAGCCUUCACUGCAGCUUCCCUGUGCCUCACUUUCCUAUAGCCGACUCUUCUUCAACAAUGUCAAUGUACCUCCAGCAUGUAACUCAAUUUCCUUCCUUUCCAUCACCUCUCCUGCCAUCAUCCUGGAGCCAGCCACAUCCAUCUCUGACCUAGGACUGCCCUCUCCCUUGUAUUCACUCUUGCUUCCCUGUAAUAUGUGUUCCAAAUAUUAGCUGCAGUAACAUUUUAAAAACAUAAUUCAGAUCUUCUUACUUAAAACACAUCAAUGAUUCCUCAUCAUACUUCACUUUCCAAAAGUCUUGAUAAAGGCUUUUGAAUCCCUCAUUGCUCUGAUCUAGCUUCAACUUGCUCUGCUCUUCCCCUGCUCAUUAUACUCCAGCCAUACUGGCCUUCAUUCACUUCUAUGCAACCCCAUGUCAAGGCCCUGGCAAAUAAUGUUCUAUCUGCUUCGAAUGGUAUCUCUUCUGCCCAGGCCCCAGCUCCUACACAUUUGCUGGUGCUAGCUUAACUGUCACUUGUUUAGAGGUCUGACCUUACUCUCACCCUUAAUGAGUUUUCUUGGUUAAAAUCUUUCAAGACACCCUGUAAUUUCCCUUCACAGACCUAAUUACAAUUUAAAACUAUCUAUGCAAAACUAUAUAUAAAGUAUAAUUACUUUUUAUAGUUAUAUUUCAGCUUAAUGUCUAUUUCCCCUACUAGACUAUAAGUGCCACAAAGGCAGAGCAAUGUUUUUGUUUGCUUGUUGUUUUUGUGUUUGGUCACUGUAGUGGGUUGGAUGAUGGCUCCCCAAGAUAUAUGUCCAUAACUUAAUCCCCAGAAUCUAUGAAUGUGACUUUAUUUGGAAAGAACCUUUGCUGUCUCUGUAUCUCAAACGUUAGGAUGUUGAGAUGAGAAGAUAAUCCAGGAUGGUACACCUUGAUGGCUCCAUUGGCAAAUCAUCCUACUCUUGAUAUUACCAAAGGUCAUGAUCUCAGGGUCAUGAGAUCAACUCCCAUCUGGCUCCAUGAAGAGUGGGAAGUCUGCUUCUCUUCCUCUCUCUGCCUCUUCCCCUGCUUGUGCUCAUUCUCUCUCUCUCUUCUCUUUCUCUCUCUCUCAAAUAAAUAAAUUAAUAUAUCUUUUUUAACAGAGGAUAAUCCAGGAUUAUACAGAUGGGUCCUAAAUCUAACUAAAAGACACACACAAGGGAGACACAGAGGAGGCAGUGUGAUCACAGGGGCAGAGAUGGGAGUGAUGUGGCAAUAAGCUAACGAACACCUGAU
rnacentral:lncRNA from 1 species